UACGGAGGGUGCAAGCGUUAAUCGGAAUUACUGGGCGUAAAGCGCACGUAGGUGGGUUCGUAAGUUAGAUGUGAAAGCCCUGGGCUUAACCUGGGAAAGCCAUCUAAAACUGCGAGUCUAGAGUACAGUAGAGGGUAGUGGAAUUUCAGGUGUAGCGGUGAAAUGCGUAGAUAUCUGAAGGAACACCAGUGGCGAAGGCGGCUACCUGGACUGAUACUGACACUGAGGUGCGAAAGCGUGGGGAGCAAACAGG
rnacentral:rRNA from 1 species